UGCGAUGCGGACCUGGCCGCGGCAGUGACCGGAGCUGCCGGCCGACAUGAAUUCGCUGGAACAGGCGGAAGAUCUCAAGGCUUUCGAAAGAAGACUUACUGAAUAUAUUCAUUGCUUGCAACCUGCCACUGGACGUUGGAGAAGUGUCCUUCCUCACGUCACUGUGGAACCAUCCGUUCUUCACGAUUAGCUGUAUAACGCUGAUAGGCUUGUUCUUUGCUGGAAUACACAAAAGAGUAGUCGCACCAUCAAUUAUAGCUGCUCGAUGUCGAACGGUAUUAGCAGAAUACAAUAUGUCUUGUGAUGACACAGGAAAGCUAAUUUUGAAACCUAGACCUCAUGUUCAAUGACAGUCUGCACUAUUGUAAGGGAACCUAAACCAGUCUUUCCUCAAGUAAGUGAUACCGCAGAAUACCAUAAAGGAUUUCUUUUAGAGUUGGACAUGUGACGGUUUAGCAGCAACUGACAAGAAGCGUGCAAUACUUGCCCAGAUGAUCUUGACGAUGCUGGCCGAGCUCUUGGCGCCUCAGUACCUUUGAUUACCUGUGUUCAGUAUUAGUGUCACUUCAGCACUUCAGCCCCUGCACAGAACUCUGCAGAUGAAGUUUGUGUGUAUUACUAAGUUAAACUUAGAAUCCAGACCUCCUUCAGUUUUUAUAAUGUAUUUUUGCAAAUUACUGUAAAUAGCAAAUCAAUGCCAAUGUUAAACCAAGAGGAAAAUGUUUGGACUUUGUUCUCCUGCACCAGUAUUUCAGGAACCAUCUGCUUGACA
rnacentral:lncRNA from 1 species